UUGAUGACAAAUAGCAUAAUUCUCCAAACCAAGUCGCCAAUUAGAUAGGCUCACCAAACUGAGUAAAUCAAGAACACUAGCAAUAAAAACUCAAGAUGAAAUGAAAAUAAUUCACAAUCCAAGAAGAGUGUACAAAAGUAAACCUGAGGCUUGAUACUAUACAAAACGUUAUUUUACUUCAAAACAACCUUCACUGCAGAAAACGGGUUCGUGUUUCAAUUCACAUGUAUGGAGAUCAAAACAUUCAAAGCCAUAAUAGGAAAAUAACACAAUUCAAUGAUAGAAAUUAAAUUAAGUAAAUUCAACCAGGGGUGACGAAUGAUGACCAUGUCUUGCAAAACGUCUAAAAACAGAAAACUCGCAUCAGGACUCCCAACGAACUCAAAAAUAGCAGCAGAUCAUGCAAAUAAGAAAAACAAACUCAAUGAAAGAAACCAGCAAGAACAAAAUCAAGAACCUGUACGAUAAAGGAUAAGAGAAAAAGAAUACAAAACAUCAAGAUCAAACAAGAGGAAGAUAGAACCGAGAAGGAAUCGUGUGUUCACAGAUUACCUCUCCUGCAACACCGAAGAUGAACAAAAUCAACAAUGAAAACAGAAAUAUUUAAACGAAAAAAUUUACUUAAAGAAAAUAUGCUCUCAGAAUCUAAAAAGAAAGAUUGAAACGAAUAUUUUUUUACUAGAGAUCACCAAACAAAACUCGAGCGUCCAUUCUUUGCUGUGAAGAACGUUAUUAUUUCGACAAAGCAUGCUGCAGAAAAACAGGUUCGCAAUUCGUAUGUCUUGCAAUCAAAGCAAAAAAAUAAAAAUAAAAGAACGACUCAUUGAAGAAACUUGAUUUGUCUAUCUGGAUGCAUUCUCUUUAAUAGAAAACCCUGAAAUCGAGCCAUCAAGAAGCAAGCAAUCGGAGCAAAGGAUAUCAAGAAAGAGUAGAAGAAAUCGAAAUCAGAGCAACGGAUAUCAAGAACUAGUGCUAGAAAAAAUUGGAAUCAAGAAAUCGAAUUCAUCACAAACGAGUUAAACACAAAACAAGAACAAACAA